rnacentral:rRNA from 1 species
UACGUAGGUCCCGAGCGUUGUCCGGAUUUAUUGGGCGUAAAGCGAGCGCAGGUGGUUUAUUAAGUCUGGUGUAAAAGGCAGUGGCUCAACUAUUGUAUGCAUUGGAAACUGGUAGACUUAGUGCAGGAGAGGAGAGUGGAAUUCCAUGUGUAGCGGUGAAAUGCGUAGAUAUAUGGAGGAACACCGGUGGCGAAAGCGGCUCUCUGGCCUGUAACUGACACUGAGGCUCGAAAGCGUGGGGAGCAAACAGG